rnacentral:rRNA from 1 species
UACGUAGGGUGCGAGCGUUAAUCGGAAUUACUGGGCGUAAAGAGCUUGUAGGCGGUUUGUCGCGUCUGCUGUGAAAUUUCGGGGCUCAACCCCGAACUUGCAGUGGGUACGGGCAGACUAGAGUGUGGUAGGGGAGACUGGAAUUCCUGGUGUAGCGGUGAAUGCGCAGAUAUCAGGAGGAACACCGAUGGCGAAGGCAGGUCC